AGCGAACGCUGGCGGCAGGCCUAACACAUGCAAGUCGAACGGAUCCUUCGGGAUUAGUGGCGGACGGGUGAGUAACACGUGGGAACGUGCCCUUUGGUUCGGAACAACUCAGGGAAACUUGAGCUAAUACCGGAUGUGCCCUUCGGGGGAAAGAUUUAUCGCCAUUGGAGCGGCCCGCGUCUGAUUAGCUAGUUGGUGAGGUAACGGCCCACCAAGGCGACGAUCAGUAGCUAGUCUGAGAGGAUGAUCAGCCACACUGGGACUGAGACACGGCCCAGACUCCUACGGGAGGCAGCAGUGGGGAAUCUUGCGCAAUGGGCGAAAGCCUGACGCAGCCAUGCCGCGUGAAUGAUGAAGGUCUUAGGAUUGUAAAAUUCUUUCAGCGGGGACGAUAAUGACGGUACCCGCAGAAGAAGCUCCGGCUAACUUCGUG
rnacentral:rRNA from 1 species